UCCUGCCCCCUCGAGGACGCGCGAGGCCGCCGCCUCCUCCGCAUGUCAGUCCUCACCUUUGGCAGUCCACACCGCUCCCCGCCCCCACGGUCCCCUGCUUUCCGACUCUUUGCAACCCCCCUCGUUCCCUUGGCAACAGCCGGUAACCUCACCCGAGUAGUAAACCGAGCCCAGAGUGAGGUCACCGCUGUUGCCAUGGGGACGGAGGGGUCGCGGAGGAGUUCAGGGCCCCACAAGGGAUGGAGACCGGGGUUACUUUGAAGCGGGCAGUAAGGAAAACUCAGGAAACAGUCUCAGCCCGGAGGGCCGCAGUGCGGACAGGAGGACCCGAGCGUGUCCGGAAGACGGAUGCCGGGCGGGGAGGAGCAAGUGGCGAGCACCCGCCCGAGGCAGUGGCAUCCACACCCUCCUCCGUCAGGUUGAGGACCCUCCAACCUGAGGUCUUCUCUCAGACCAGCCUAACUUUGACAGUCCAGAGCUCCGUUCUAGUUCCAGGCCUGCCAUUAAUUCCCUGGCACCUUGGACAGAUCCCCUGACUCUCCCAAUUCCCUCAACAGUUAACUGCCUCCCAGCUUCCCAGAGAGGCGAGGAUUUACUGGCAAGAAAACAUGAUAGCCCCCUGGAGCUUGGCUAAGGCUCCACAGGGUACACCUCGAGCUAGUACCGCCUCAGGUCCGCUGGUUGCAAAGACCACCCUGUCCAAGGCUCUGCUCCUACAAGUCAGCCAAGAGGAUGGUGUGGGUCCCAAACUGAUGAGUGACCUUAAAGAAGCUGUGUUAGUCCAGAAUAAGUGGCCUCUGCCUCCAUCCCCUCUAGGCCUGGCCAGAGGGUGGGGGCUUGGGGUCCAGCAUACUGUAGGGUUUCCCCUACCCCCCGUUUCCUCUUGCCUGGAAGGGCUUACAGACUCUCUGGGGGUAAAAGGAGGUCAACACAGAGGCACCCCACCCCAACUCACACUACAGCUCUCCUUUGCUACCAUUCUCCCAAAGCAUGUCUACUCUGGCCACCCACCCUCCUGGGGGCUGAGAGAAACUCUGGGCUCUGCAACCUAGCUGCAUGCCUGCUUCCCAUCUCCUGGUCCAUGGCCCCUUUUCCCUGUUCUGAAGAGACAUGAGGGAUCUCUGUCUGACUGGGUCUCCCCAGAUGCUGGGGACCUCCCUCCAGGGAGAAUUCAGACCUUUGACAGCUGAGAGAGCCAUCUGUCCUAUGGCAAAGCCAUGGGGGCCCAGAGCAGCAGAGCUGGAUUAACCUUCCAGAGGGACCUUUAGGACAGUGGGCCAGAGGGGGUCCGCGACGCUGUGUGGUGUGUUCUGUGCAACGGUAGCCGAGGGAGUGCCCUGGCGCUCUUCUCCUGCCCCAAAGCACUGCAGAUUCCACUGGACUCCACCCUGCACUGCCUCAGGCCCUCUGCCAAGGAAGCUUUGGAAAGGAUUUAGGGUAGUCCUGAGCCUUCCCUUUAUUCUGGGUCCUAAUUGCUACUGUCCUAGGCCUCAAGACUUCCUGCUCUCUCCCUUCUUAUGGGCAGUUGAAGGAGCUGUCUCCUGCCUUUGCCCCUGGCAAAAUAAAUAAAUACAUAAUAAAUUAAAAAAUCUGAGCACUCAAGAUGUGCCAAGCAUUGUCCUGCAUGUUAUUUCCUUAGAUAGGAGUACCACACGGACCCCGAGAGCCCCUCUAGAUACAGGGAUACCCUCCCUCCUAACCCUACCCAUCCUGCCCACCCCACCCUUACCCGUAAGGACAAGGUGUCUUUGCAUUGCAGGCUGAUGCCACAUUCAUCGGUGAUCUCGGAGAGGUCUUCAUCCUCAAACUCCUCCAGGCUGAUGUCAUGGGUGAGCCUGGUGGGGACAAGAAGCCAAAGUUACCACUCGGGACUGCUGGCGGUGGGCUGAGGACCCUGAGGCCUCCCCCAUACCUCUUCAGAGGGGUGGCCCCUCGAAGACAUGUCACCAGGGGAUGGGACCUGAGGUCUGCCUGCUUCAGUGCAAAGGGUUAGGAUGAGGAACACUAAGGCUGAGACAGAAGAUGCCAUAGGCCUGCAGCUUCCCCAUAUGUAAGAUGAGGACCCCAUCUGGGUGCUGGUAAACUUAACCGAAUGGAGUGUGUGUAAAUUAUGUGAGGAGGUCCCGACUAACGAUCAGGGGCUGGACUGACCCUGGAGUCUUCUUUGCAAGUCACACCCACUCCCCUCAACGUCCACCUCUGCCCACCUCUCCACCGCCCCAUUCCCUGCCCUUUCCUCCUGCUUAUCCAGGCACCAGGAGUUCUGGGUCUCUCAGCUGAAGCCCCAGGAGGCCCUUUGUGGAGGGAAAGCCAUACAGACCCUUGGUCCCUCCAAGUUCAAGGAGGGCAGCUCCUGCAGGAGGAAGGAAAAGAUGGAGGGCAGGGGGGCAGCAGGGGCCGGAAAGAAGGAGGGAGGUCCCCUCCUGAGCCCACUGCCCCACCUUCCCCAUGGAAACCGGCCCCGGAGCGCCAGAAGACGGCUCAGGCUGAACCACACGACCCGCCGCAGGUCGGGUCCCCGGUUUUGCCUCUAGAUCUAGGAACCCCAGCCCUUCGGAGGCAGCUGCGUCAUCACUCAGACCUGCUCGCCCGUUCGGGUGAGACGGGUCACGAGGGCUCAUCCACACUAGCAUCUGGUGAGUCUACGGCAAGUGUUUGGUCUCUCGAGCCCACCCCCAACCUCGGCAUCAAUCUUUGUCACCCAGGCCCCUCCUCUGAGUUAACCUCAUCGCCUCCCACUCUGGCACCCCCGUCCUCCCCUCUGUCUGCUGCUCACUGUCCUCCGAACGUGCCACCCUCAGGCUCCCCCUGCCUGAGCCAAGCUCCCCUAAACAGACAGACCAGCCUCCUGUGUUUCAAUGUUUACGUCAUGGCCUUUCCCUUGCCACGUGAACGUCAGUCACAUCUGCAUUCCACCAACAGCAGCUCUUUCUAAGCUGCUGUUUCCACCCAGGAGGAGGCGGAGUUAGCAGUGCCUGCCAAGCAAGCAUUAAAUGAGCAAGAACUCCGGGAUCUGGUGACUCAACUAUUGGGAAACUAUCCUUUGGAAACCAUCCCAACCUUGGAAAAGCCUUUCUACACAAGGGUGUGUGUCCUCAUCAUGGAAACCACCGCCGAGUCUGGCAUGCGGGGUCCUCCAGAGGAGGGAGCAUUGCUCGCUCUUUGGGAUGAACGUUAUAAAGUCUGUGCAUUAAUGUUGAAAAUGGGAACUAAUACAAUAAGCAGAAGACAGAACGUGUCACCUUAUGGCUCCACGUGAUGACUCACACACAGAAGAGAACCUGACACAGACACAGCCGUGGGACGCGGUGGGAUCUGGGGGGUCUUCUCAAGUCCACUCUGGCUCACACCCCCCAGCAGCUGCCCCUCAUAAAGCCUGGCUUCUGAGG